rnacentral:rRNA from 1 species
GUAGGGAAUAUUGGGCAAUGGGUGCAAGCCUGACCCAGCCAUCCCGCGUGCCGGAUGAAGGCCCUCUGGGUCGUAAACGGCUUUUGACGGUGAAGAACCGAAAGGGUGCGCCCUUUUUUGACGGUAGCCGUUGAAUAAGCACCGGCUAACUCCGUGCCAGCAGCCGCGGUAAUACGGAGGGUGCGAGCGUUGUCCGGAUUUAUUGGGUUUAAAGGGUGCGUAGGCUGGAGGGACAGUCAGCGGUGAAAAGCAGUUGCUCAACAAUUGUCUUGCCGCAGAUACUACCUUUCUUGGAUUGGGAGGAGGUUACCGGAACGGAUGGUGUAGCGGUGAAAUGCAUAGAUAUCAUCCAGAACGCCAAUUGCGAAGGCAGGUAACUGUACCUAUAUCGACGCUGAUGCACGAAAGCAUGGGUAGCGAACAGGAUUAGAAACCCUUGUAGUCC